AUGCGGCCUCUCCUCAGCGCCGCCGCCGCCGCCGCCGUCCUCCUCCUCCUCCUCCCCCUCGCCGCCGGCCAGCGACUCCGCGGCUUCUCCUACCAGCUCGACUGCGGCGCCGCGAGCUCCUCCACCGACAGCCGCGGCCUCCGCUGGGACCCCGACGGCCCCUACGUCUCCGCCGGCUCCGCCCGCCCGCUCUCCGUCCAGGGCCUCCUCGACCCCGCCCUCGCCUCCCUCCGCGCCUUCCCGUACCGCACCAACGCCAAGUUCUGCUACGCGCUCCCCGUCGACCCCAACCGCCGCUACCUCCUCCGCCUCACCUUCUUCUACGGCCCCACCUCGACGGCCCCGCCCGUGUUCGACCUCAUCGUGGACGGCACCUUCUGGACCGCCGUCGACACCGCCGAUGACGUCCUGGCCGGCAGCGCCUCGCACUACGAGGCCGUGUUCCCGGCCAGGGGCAGGAACCUGACCUUCUGCCUUGGCGUCAACCCCGACUACACGAAAUCCGGCCCGUUCAUCAACGCGCUGCAGGUCAUCCAGCUCCAUGAUUCGGUGUACAACGCCACGGAUUUCACGGGCAGCGCCAUGGGCCUCAUUGCGCGCACCAAGUUUGGCUCGAUUGGCGACGUCGAGAGGUACCCUGAUGACAGUUUUGACCGCUAUUGGCAGCCAUUUCCAGACAGAAAACAUGCAGUCAGUAGUACCCACAACGUUACCUCAGCCGAUUUCUGGAAUCUUCCUCCUCCUGACGUAUUUAAUACAGCUUUGGUAGCAGAACAAAAUUCACCCUUGGUGUUGCAAUGGCCUCCAAUAUCUCUUCAGAAUGGCAGCUAUUAUGUUUCUCUUUAUUUUGCUGAUACAUUGGCUAAUAGUUCGAGGACCUUGGAUGUGAAUAUUAAUGAUUACCAGUUUUACGAAGGGACAGUAACAUCAGCUGGUCUUUCUGUCUUUGCAACUCAAUGGAUUCUCUCAGGCCUAACCAGAGUUAUAUUGACUUCUAAGUCUGUUCUUCCACCACUUAUCAAUGCUGGCGAAGUCUUUGGAAUUUUUCCCAUCGGAAGACUGACAAUUACACGUGAUGCGCUUGCUAUGGAGAGUAUGAAGAGAAGCCUCCAAAACAUACCCGAUGAUUGGAUUGGAGAUCCAUGUAUGCCUCAUGGAUAUGCUUGGACUGGAGUUACAUGUGAUGAAGGACAAAAUAUACGUGUCAUUUCAUUGAACUUUUCAAGUAUGGGUAUCUCCGGAUCUCUGUCACCUGACAUUGCAAAUCUGACUGCUCUUACUGAUAUAUCUUUUGCAAACAAUAGCUUGUCUGGAACUAUUCCUGAUUUCAUCAAUCUGGGAAAACUCCAACGAUUGCACCUGAACGAUAACAAGUUGAAUGGAACAAUAGCUCAGACGUUGGGGACAAUUCAGCCUUUGCGUGAACUAUUCUUGCAAGGCAAUGAUCUGGGUGGAGCAGUUCCACAGAACUUGCUGAACAAAACAGGGUUGACUAGCAAAUUUUGUCCGGGCAAUCAGUUCACACAACCACAGUGCUGA
rnacentral:rRNA from 1 species